AACUAAUCGAUUAACGUGGUUUUCGUUUAACAGGAAGAAAAGAUUCAAGAGACCCUCAAGAYUCAGUCAUUGCAGCAAAAGUAUGACAAACUGGAAAAAGAGUUUCACGCCCUGAAACAACAGGUAGAACUAAAUCAGAUGGCUUUGACCAACACAUCGACAAAGGAUUGCUGCCUUCAAGCAACUACAGAUAUCAUCAACCUCAAAAACAAGGUA